AUUUUUUUUCUUUUUUUUUAGAAGGUAUAUCUACUCCUCAGUUCCCCCAAACUUAAGAAUUACAGACCUAAGCUGAAGGGUGUUCAAUUCAAUCCUAGAAUUCAUGGAAUUUCGUCUAAAUCCUAUCUCAAGAACAUAUGUGAAUUACAAUUUCCAACACAAGCAAUUUCCAAGUACUAACCUAGCAUUGCAAUUGAAACUACUAAUCAAGAACUACGCACAUAACUCAUCAUAGG
rnacentral:lncRNA from 1 species